CGGCGAUGCGAGUGUGAGCCAAUUAUUUUUGAGAGACUUAGUAAUUAAUUCUUUUAUAUGGGAUCUGAAUGUAAUUCUCGCAUUAUUUUUCUCCAACAUUUCUGACUUCCAAUUCGAGACUAAGGUUCCGUUCCCUAAUCCUCACGCUCAUUGUUUCUGUUCUCAAUUCUCAUAUAGUCAUAUCGCUGCACCUUCCAUGGAUUCCUAGUUAUCGCUAUCACCGCAAACCCUAAUUUCGGAUAUCAGCGGCUCAGUUCUCAGGUUUUUAAUGGAUGGGGAUAAUAGCGACUUGGGCAGUGCGCAUGAAGAAAAUAUUGAAGUCAGACCUGAGACAUCGAAUAACUUGGACUUGAAUGUGGAGCAGAACUGUUGUAGCCCCAAUGUUAUACAUAUUAAUGAUGCUCAAUCUGGUCAUCCUUCCACAGGUGAAACCAGUACCAGUAAUGUAUUAGGAAUUGGGACAGAAUUUGAAUCUGAUGAGCAUGCAUACAGAUUCUAUAACAAAUAUGCCAGGUUGGUGGGUUUCAGUGUUCGAAAAGAUUGGGUAAAUAGGAGUAAAGUACAUGGUCAGGUGGUGUCUAGGAAGUUUACUUGCUCCAAAGAAGGAUACCGUAGGAAAGACAAAAGAGACAUUAAUGUGAAGAAACAUAGGAAAGAAACAAGGACUGGUUGCUUGGCUCAUAUGAUCAUCACUCGCCAACCAGAUGGUAAGUACCGAGUUACCCAUUUUGAAGAACAGCACAAUCAUGAUAGUAUAAAUCCUUGUAAUGCUCACACGUUGAUGUUGCAAAAUGAACAAAAUGCUGCUCAAGAUGUAGAAGCUGACCUGAAAAAUACUGUGGGACCAAAGUCAAAGUCAGCAUUUGAAAUGAUGAAUAGAAAAUUUGCAGCUCGUGUGUCUCUUGAUCAAAUUUCUAUGGAUUAUGACAAUCAUCUUCAGUCAGAGAGGGAUAGAGAUAUGAAUGAAGGAGAAGCAGGUCAUUUAUUGGGUUACUUUCAAAGACAGCAUUUUGAAAAUCCCACAUUUUUUUAUUCCAUACAAUUAGAUGUUGAUGAUAAGGUAAGCAAUAUAUUUUGGUCUGAUGACAGUAUGGUACUGGAUUAUGAUUAUUUUGGUGAUGUUAUUUGUUUGGACACAACUUGCAGAACAAACAGAGAACUUCGACCGUUUGUGCAAUUUAUAGGUGUUAAUCAUCACAAGCAGGUGGUGAUCUUUGCAGCUGCACUUCUCUAUGAUGAUACUACUGAAUCAUUUAAUUGGCUAUUUCGUACCUUCAUUAAUGCUAUGUCUGGGAAAAAGCCUAAGGCUAUUCUCACAGAACAAGAAGCUAUUAUUAUUGAAGCCGUCAAUACAGUUUUGCCUGAAACAAACCAUCUUACUUGUGUAUGGCACAUGUAUGAAAACACUUUAAGACACCUGAGUCAAGUCGUUAAGGAUGCUAAUUCUUUUGCCAAUGAUCUUCGAUGCUGUAUUUAUGACCACAAAUAUGAGGAGGACUUUACUCAUGCUUGGGAGGCUAUGUUGGAGAAGUAUGAUCUCCAGAAAAAUGAAUGGUUGAGAUGGAUGUACAGAGAAAGAGAGAAAUGGGCAGUUGUCUUUGGUCGAAAUACAUUUUUUUUGGAUACAAAAGGCUUUCAUUUAGGUGAGAUUUUGUCUCAUAAAUUUAGAGGUUAUUUAAAUUCUGACCUUGAUGUCAUUCAAUUCUUGAAGCAUUUUGAAAGGGUAGUGGAUGAACUACGUUAUGAAGAAAUUGAAGCUAAUGAUGAGAUGAGAAGAUGUUUGCCAAGACUAAUGGGUAAUGUUGUUUUGUUAAAGCAUGGAAGUGAUGUAUAUACUCCAAGGGCAUUUGAAGUAUUUCAGCAAGGAUAUGAGAAGUCUUUAAAUGUUGUUGUUAACCAAUUCAGUAGGAAUGGAUCACUGCUUGAGUAUAAAGCAAAUACGUUUGGACAUAUUAGACAAUAUAAUGUCACAUUCAAUUCUUUGGAUGAUACAGUUGUGUGCAGUUGCAUGCAGUUUGAGCAUGUUGGAUUUUUGUGCGGCCAUGCACUAAAAGUGCUUGACCAUAGGAACAUAAAAGUGGUUUCAUCUGGGUACAUCUUGAAAAGAUGGACAAAAGAGGCAAGGUUCGGAACUGUCAAGGAGAUUUUUGACAUGCAAAAUGAUCCUAAGAUGAUUGUAGCGAGCCGUUACAAGGAUUUGUGCCACAGACUGCUCAAGUUUUCAGCAAGGGCCUCUGAAUCUGAUGAAGCUUAUCGAUUCGCUCAGAGGAAACUUGAUGAGAUAAUGGAAGGAGUUGAGAAAAUCUUGACAUUGAAAGGUGUAGAAACUCAUAUUAUCACCUCCAGUAGCGUUGAUGUAAAUGCUUCUGAGAAUGAGCCUGCAGACAUCUUUCUCAAUGGACAAGCAAUGGAAGAUCAAAAUGAAAGUAACAGAAUGGAUGAAGAAAAAGAAGGGAGUUCUACGCCUGUUAGGGGCCAUCAAACAACUAUGCAUUGCGAUGGAUUAGACACUGAAAGGGUUCUAGAUGUGGAAGUCUCUCCGCCUGAUACUGUUGCCUGCAUUUCAAGUCCUUCUUCUGCAUACGUUUCUUCUCAAUCUACAACACCAAAUCCCAUUAUGCAGGGACUGUAUAAUUUUGAAGCCAACCAUGUGGUUCAGUGCAUGUAUGAACAGUCCAAUCUUGCGCUGGACUCCCAAUCUAACGAUAACACGUACCAUCCACAGAACUUCUUUUCUAACCAACGGGAUUCUCCUGGCCAAUCUCAACUACUUCAGGAGCCUGUAAUCCAAAGCACAUACCAGCAAUCCAUCCGCAGCACUAAUCAAAUGAGACAGGUAAUGGAUAUCCAAAAUCCCCAUUCAUCUUCAUUCUUGCUGUAUGAUCAUAGAUACAGAACUUCAGACGCUGCAUAAGUAAGAGGGAAUGAAAAUGAUUGAAUGAGUUCCCUCUGCUGUACAUAGUUUGAAUUUAUCAACCAUAAAGUUAAUGCUACCAAACGAAAUUUUAGGUACAUUUCACUUGGCUACUCCCCUGGUACAAAAUAUAAGUAGUUUUUUUUUUAAAAUUGCAUAUUAAUAAAGUCUUCAUUCCCAUAAAAAUAUAUAUAUAUAUUUUUUCUUUUACUCCUAGUCUCAAUCACCGAUAUAUUCUAUGAUGAGUGAGAGAUAUAAUCACACAAAGAUUUAUGUUAAUAAAUACAAGGAGUAAAAUGGGACUUUUCUUACAUGUACUAGAUUGUUUAUAUUUUGAAUUAAGAUUAGUUGAAAAAAAUACUUAUAUUUUGGAUCGGAUGGAGUACAUGAUAACGUGCAGAUAUUUUGGUGUGAAUUAUAGCGUGGGCUUGUUCUUGCAGUUGUGAUGACUUGCUGCUUGGUAAGUUAUCUUCGGUUUCAUUUUUACAUUCUGAAAGUCCAUUCAUUUCCUUGUUAUUCACAAUUAUUAAAAAAAAAAAAAAGAAAAUGCUCCCUCCCUGCAUUUUAUAAAACAUUUUAGGAAGUGACUUUAUGUUCUAACUUCUAAAGUAUAGGACGUCUUGAAAAAAAAAGAAAAAAAGCUUCGUUUAUGAUAGUUAUAUCAAUAUUACUAUAAUUAUUUUACUCCUUAAAUAUAUUACUUUCUCUUUCUCCCUUAUUAAUGAAGAGUGUUUUUAGAAUUGUAUAAAAAAUAAUAAUUAAGAUUUCAAACUGUAUUUAAUUGACCUUAUUAAUAUUUGUAAUUUACUAAAAGAUGUCUUGUAAAAGGGAACGGAUGGAGUAGUAUUUUGAAUUUUUUUUUUAACCUUGAAAAAUAGCAUAUGAUCUACUUGCUACAAAAUAUGAGCAAUAAUUUUUUAUUGAUUAAAAUAUCCUUAGAAUUAUUAUAUAAUAUAACAAAUAAUUUUUUCUAUUUAAAAUUUGAAUUUGAAAUGUAAUAAAAAUUGAAUUUAUGCGUUUCAAUGGAAAAUAAUUAUAUACAAUUAAUUCAUGUUAUUCUUAAUGAUAUUUUAAUCCUUUUGUGUAUCUAUUUAAAUUUAAAAAGUUUAUUAUUGCCAUUAAGUGUUUUUCUGUACGUUAGCAAAUGAAUAUUUUCUCAAACAAAUUUAUUAUUUUCCUUUUAUUAAAAGCAUGCGAGUAAAAAUUAUGGCAAGAUUGUUUAUCAUGAACGACCAUGAUUGCUUUGUUUUUGAAAAGGCCAUGGUUAUAGCCUCUUCACUGUCGAAUACGGUAUUAAACAUAUCUUUUAAUCAUUCAUCACUCAUACUUCUCUCCAAUAAUCAAUGCGCAAUCUUAAGCCAUUGAUAUACCAAUGGCUACUUCUUUUUCUUUCUUAAUCACAAUGCAUGGUUUCCACUUUCCACACCGUUUUUGUAUAAAUAUCUGAAAAACAUGUUAUUACACGUAUUAAAUGCCAAGGGCAUAAUAGGAAAAUUUUAUAAAUUUAAAUUCUCUAAAGAUAGAACUAGUGAAUUUCUGUUUGGUUUUCUAUUUUAGGAAAGAGAAGAUUUGUAUUUUUAUAAAAAAAAUAAUAAAAUGAGCGAAAAUUAACAAAAAAAAAAGCUUUCAAAAAAUUACCAAUUUUAAUUUCAAAUGAUUUAAAUCCAAAUUUUAUAUACAUGUAAGCGCAACAUCAUAUAAUAAAUCAAUAGAAGACGAAAUUAUACUAAUUUUUUUAUAGAUGGAGAAUAGAAAUAGUUCAUCUUCCUUGUGCGUCUUCUCCAUUUUCCUGCAUCUCCAUCUUUUCUUGUGUUGCUCAGAUUUCCAAAAUCCUACUACAGGAUGCUCAUGAAGGUUCUGAGAAUGCUCCCAUGGGGUGGCAUUGACAAAUUGAUUAAUUGAUUAUGUGUGCUGUGAAUUAUUGUGAUUAUGAACCUCAGGUUACUAUUUUUGCCUUAACUUUUAUGGAAGCAAACUGAAAGGAGCCCUAUUUGUAGCAGUGUCUGCUCCUAGUUCUUCUCUUCUUUUUGUUUCUGCAGUUCAAAUUCUUCUUUCA